AAUAAAAUCACCACUGUCAGAAUCAACUAUUUUGAAAAAAACUAAAAGUUAUGAAAAUCUCAACAUGGAUUACAAUAAAUGUAUCUACAAAUGUAAAAACAUUCUAAAGAUUGUAAAUAAAACUUUAAGAGUGGUAUUAAAAACAAAAUAUGAUAUAGAAACAAUAGUUCAAAACCAAGACCAGUUGAACACGACAAUCAAAAAUUCAAUUUUUCAAAAAGAAAUAAAUUUUCAAAAUGUUAGUAACAUCAUCAGUGAACAAGAAAAUUAUUUUUAUGUGCUCCCAAUAACAAAUGAAGAUUCUCUUACUAAAUUUGAAGAAAAAUUUCCACCGAUAAAACUUUUAAGUCAAAUUUAAAUUGAAAAGAAAUGCUAAAAGAAAUUUAACUUCAACUUUAAGUCAGUUAUUAAGAACUGUAUUUGAUGAUUCUUUAUUGAAGGAGUAUAGUUUUAAAGGGCAAAAGUCCAAAAAAAUUUUUUCUACUCUCACCUCUUGUUUUGUUAUUUUGGUAGAUACGAACAUUUUCUACGAUACAAACAAUAACGAACGUUUUGCGAUAAUUAUUCGAACUUUCACACAUUUUAACCUAGCAACAUUGUGUUAAUGUCGUAAUAUAACACGAUCCAUCGAUAGUUGAGUGCUUACACCUUUGCAAUUACCUUGUUCUGUGAACCAUACAAAAUAUCGUUCGCUUACGAGUCGUAUAGUCAUCUUAACGCCAUCAUCUAUCUGUGUGCUGUCUACGUGCUUGCGUCAUUCCGUCGUUAUUUCGGAUGUUGAUAGAUUCUCGUAGUCAUAUACCAACACUGACAAUCGUAUCUUGCUACAUGUACAACGAAGGUUGUCCGUCACCAUCGUCGUGUAUAUUUCAUUACCAGUGAUGUAUCCCAGAAGAGUAGAAGAUUUCAAAAAGUGGAAACAUAUCAAGACAAAUAUUUAGCUGAAGGAAACAAGUACACAGUGUAGUAUUAGGCAAUUCAAAUUCAGGGCAUAUUAAUGUCACAAUAGAAAAUGAGCUAGCCUAAACAUUUUUUUUUAUUUUCUUCUAUUAGCACGUGGAAUGAAAUAUAUAUUAUCAUAUAGUUCAAUCGAUACAACAUACAUGUGACUGUUAUCAAGUCACUGUUACGUAGUCCCGAGCACGGUCUUAAAAGAUAAGGUCCUCCAACUCUACAAAAUAAGUGUCCCACUUACGAUGUCAAAUACGUUUCCGCUGCUGAUCACUUUACAUAAAGCACUGCUGGUUAGACGUUUUUGAGGUUAUGUAAUAAUUUGUAUUAUAAUUUUGUUUUUAUAAAUAAACAUUCAACCUGAACAUCUAUGAUCUAUGUAAUAUGGUACUCUUGAUUGAUUGGUCUUGAUUGUUUUUAUAGAAAAUUAGAAAUCAAAUAUAGCUUUUACCACGGUUGAGGCUUACAAGACUAACUCAAGAAACAAUAUGGUUUAGACUAUAACAAAACAUGUCCUUAGAAGACUGAACUACU